GAAAGCGUGUAUACUGGGGACGAAUAGUCUCUACAACAGCUUAAGAUUGGACUCUGGCUCCGCAUGUAGCAGGAUAUGUACACAAAACAGUAAGAUGGAAGCUGGCCAGGACUUCUCUUCCUAAGGAAAGUGCUUGGGAGAGGCAGAGCGUGCGCUAGCUUCACACCUGCAAACACAGCUCUGUCCUCCCGCGGGUAGGUGCUGGCAACUAGGUGAUGCUCCUGGAAGAGACCUCUGUGAUAAAGCACGGCCCAUUCCAUGCGCUCCUUCAAUAAUAGCGCGAGUCAGCCAUCAGAGCUGUGAAGUGACCCAGGAGCAGCCUGGCAGGAAGAAAGAACGUGGGAUCCAUGGGAAGUUCCUUACAAACACAGAGCCAGCGGAGGCCUUGGGGGGGCCCUUCAGUUCAUGGCAGCUUCAGGACAUGUUUUCCACCAGUUGAUUUUUUUCAAAGGCAGAUUAGCAAAGGAAACAAAUACUGAGUGAUGACUACAGAAUGUAUCUUUGGAACUUGCUAGACUAAUUACUGAGGCUCCAAAAUCACUUUAAAAGCAACACAUUUUGUUUUGCAAUAUACAUUCUUGUUGCCAAAUUUUUUUUUUCUAAUUUCAAUCAGAAUCUACCUCACCCUGGAGAGUUGACUGUGGCAGAACUGGAGCUUGGUGGAGAAUACUCUUAUUAAAACAUCAUUGUUCAAAGCA